rnacentral:lncRNA from 1 species
CGGGCAUUGGAAACUUGGUGGAGCAAAUCUGCUACAAGCAUUUAAAAGUACACUGAUAUCGAUGGGAAGGUGAACGUUGAUGCCAAGAACGUUAACGUCGAGCGCGGUACAGAGACAGACUGCAGCCUCAAGGUCAGCCAAGCCUGCAAUGAGCGAGCAGCACGGCGGUACUGGUGGCGGUGGGUUUCCUAAUGUUAAGUCAAUUGCAUUGAGCACAUUAGUGCAAGCACCGAUCUGAAGGGCAUUUCUAGGACAAGUGCCUUGAGCAGUAGUGUAAGUGAAGAAGAGGAGGUUAAGGAAAAGGAAGAGUGCAAGAGAGGUUCUUGGAGCCAUUUGUUUGUGUACCAGAAAAACUCUGAAACAAAAUCUCAGGAAGUAGUAGUGUGUUUAUAUUCUUUGAGAAGGGUGGAGAUAAAUUAUGGGAGUUAUAGCGGAUAUUUAUAGAAUUUUCUGUAGGAGAGUCAUAAAUUGGUUUCUACAAGAGAUUAGUUGACUAUUUUUUUUCAUAUUUAUGAGUCGACUAUAAUAAGUAGACGCAAUAGUUAUUGUCUAAUUAGUUGGCAAAUCAUAAAAAGGAAUAUUGUACAAAUUAUAGAGUAGAGUAAACUACUAUUAUAAGUUUGUUAGCCAUUCUACCCUGUCUCCACGUUUAAACAAAACAUAUAAUCAAGAAUAUUAUUUACGAUUUAUAACUUUUGACUGUUUUAUAAUUUGAAGUUUAGAAAUAAAUAGUACAAUCUUAAUUUACAAAAUCUACAAAUGUUUAUGUGGAAGCGGCAGGUUCAAAGAUGAUACAGACUAAUAUCAAUAGCAGUGGGAGCCGUGACAAAAUGAAAAGAUAUAAUCGUUUUGUUUGUUGUUUAACGUUCAAACAUAUUUUUGAUGACAUACGUAAUUUCACAUGAGUUCAUUAUAUAUGAUUUUAUUGCAGUGUAUUAAGAGAUACACAAGAUCGACCAUAUCUUGGUUUAAAAUAUCAUGACUAUUCAAGAAAAUUGAAGAAACUGACCACAUAUAUACUAUAUUUGAAACUGGCUAUAUUACUCAAUACCACAGUUUACAAAUUUACGUUCCGAAGCUCGUACCACCGUUCAGAACAGCAGAUCCAAUUACAUUAUUAGGAUGCAGAACGAACCACUUUCCACCAGACGUCAAACCUCUCUUCCGGAAGCUCGCACCGCCAAAGACGAAGGUAAAUAUAUGGUGGAGGAAACAUGUUACCGGUUCAGGCGCCGUUGACGUGAAUGACGUGCCAAAUCUCUGAAAACCAAAAACCAAAAACCAAAUCUGACGGCUCACUUCAGCCCUAAAAGCCAGCCCUUCCGCAUCCAUCACACUAUGAGUCUUGUUGCUGCGCCAUAAAAUGCAUGUUGCUGUCACCAUCGACCUCAAACAAUUCUUCAUAUAAGAUCUCGACAAACAUAAAAAACUUGUUUAUAGACUAGGGUUAAGCAGAUGGAUAAAAAGAAUAAUGAGAAAGAAAAUUAUGGUUGGAGGAGGAAACCUCCGGCACCAACCAGAGCCAGAACAGAGCUAGCUUUUUACUUUGCUUUUUGUCUACACGGAGCGACAGAAAAAAGAAAAAUAUCGUUCAAAUACAGAAGAUGAAAUUUUGGCUGAUUAAAAAAUAUUCAAAAGAGAAAAAGAAAAAAUUAAAUUGAGAUAUUUUUGUUCAUGAAGUUUUCAUAAUGAUUGUCUUUACUUAUUUCAUUUAUCAAUAAAUACGUCAGAAAAUUAUAUUAAAUAUUUAUAAUGAUUUCUCAUAGACUAAACAAUUUAAAUUCAUGCGGCUUCAUUAUAUAAUUACAGGGAUAAAUAAUUUCGUUAAAAUUAUAUAUGUGCUACGUCGCACCCUCAACCUACUAUACCAAUCUCAAUCUGUAAGAGUGAUUAGAAUGGAAUAAUUGUUCUUUAUUCCUUCAUGAUAGGUUGUUCACGGCAUGAACAUAUAUUAUCUUUCAACGAAUUCUAUUUCAUUGGCAGACUAGUAUCAUUAUUUAGUCUAAGCAUAAUCUCACAUGAAGAAACAUUCAUGGUUCAUUUUGCAUUUGUUAUAUAUAUCCAUGCCAUAUGGACGGACUUAUCAUACAAUAUCCGUAUGUUUGUCAAUAAUAUAUAUUAGUAAGUUUCAACGAGAGCAAUAAUACAUCGACAGUUUCAAAACAAACUAUGCCUUUUCAUGAAUAGACUUCUUGUAUUAAUGUUCCGAGAACCCGAACGAGUGUCCUUGAAACCCAUAAGGCGACAAUGGGCCCACGAAGUUCCAUGGCCAAUGCCGACAGCAAGAGACGAUCCAUGACCAGCUCAAGAGACUGUCCAUGCCGAGCUGAUACUUUGAAACUACAAUAUAAAAGAGGUCAAAGCAUUUAAUACUAUCAUAUAGGCAUAUGAACCUCAUCAGAGAUCACGUUUCCAUUAUGUUCCACUCUAAGACCUUUGAAAGAGAGAUCAAAGACUACGAGAAGAGGACACGGACACAGAUCCGGCUUCGAAACCUCAGUGAAAUGCCAAUCAAACCAGUAGAAACCUGAUAUUAUGAUACUUGAAACCCAUAUAUUUGCUUUAUCUGGUUUUCAAUCUUCAACAAGAACUAAUCCAAACCAUAGCUCAUCUCAAAUCACAAACCUUAAUAGCCAUGGAACCACAAAACCAAAGAAUAGAUCAAAUUCUUUGCCAUAAGAAUAAGUGAGGAGAUCAUCGGUUACGUCGCACUCUCCAUUCGCGCCCUAGCUAUAUUUCUAAACGAAUAUUCAAGUAUUAACUUAUAAUCAAUAAUUAUAAUCUAUUAUAUAAUAGGAGAGUUUCUCUCCUCCUGAUGCGACACGUCAGCGGUUUGUGGGUUCCACUUUUUAAAAGUAUGAAAAAAUGUCAAAUAUGUGGCUCGAACCAGGGUUAUUGAGAUAUAAGCACCCACAACUAUACCAUUGCACUAAAGGAUACUUUGUACAUUGACGGUCGAAACUAAUAUAUAUUAGAAAGGUGGAAAACUAAUAUAACAUUGUGGUCUCCACCUCUUUUUUUUUUUUUUAAGUGAUGGGUAACGAAUGGACUUCGAAAAAAAAUGGGCUUUGGGCUUAUUGAUUUUCUGUUUAUUAGGCUUUGUAUCUGUCCAAAGUGGUGAUACUGACAAAGCUAAGAAGAUUAGGGAAGUCGCCAUCUUCACCAUCUCCUUCGUCGUUUGCGAUUCCCCUUCCGGCAAUCAACUAUUAUGGUCAAUCUUUAAGGCUCUACGCACGUUUUGCGCCUACCAAACGCUUAGUUUCUCCUCUAACGCCUUCAGAGCUCUCAUAUAUAUAGAAUCCCUCGAGGUAAAAGCUCCAUCUUGUCUCAAACUUUUCUUUCUCAGUUUUUCAAUCGCUUUACUUUCUCACAUCUGGACUUUCCAGCUGCUCCAGCCGCUUCAGCAUUAACAAGAAUGGAGAGUUUAUGGGCAUCACCAUUCUCCUCCUUGAUGAACUGGUGAUGAUUGUUUCUAAUUUAUUUUUUAUCACUUUAACUCUUCUUUGCUUAUUCUUUGUUCAUAUAUGAAACAUGUCUUCAUCUUUUUGUUUUGGUUUUGUCUAUAAGUUUUUUUAUGAACAACUAAUGAUUUUUCUCUGUUUUUCUUACAGGAUUUUGUGAUCUACGGUUUCAUCUCUGCAAUCUCCAAACAAAACAGGAAAACUGAAUGAAUUAUGUUUUUAGCAACCGAAUCUAAAAGAAAUAAAAGACAUCUUACUUAACAAAUUAAAACCUUUUCUUUUGCAGAUUCCGACGACGACGACGAAGCACCCGAGGACUGACGACAAUGGAAUGAUGCGGACGAAGCCUAACUGAUGUAAGUAAACUCCUCUUCAAUAACACAUCACACUAUUAUCGCUCCCCAAUCUCACAAACUUAAGCUCUAAUCAUGCCAGGGAUCCCACAGGUCAUGCUGUCCCGACGACGGAGAAAAAAAAAGAAAGAUAACCUAACGUUUUUUUUAUUUUUAGUUUUUAAGUUCAAAUCAUGUUUUAGACAUAAAGCCCAACAUAAUUUGAGCCCAAACAUUUUAAACCCACAAUUACUUUUUCAUAAUAUAAAAACGUCAACUUUCGUUUAUGUUUUGUUAAACUAUUUUAAUCUUUAUGUUUUGUUAAACUAUUUCACACAAAGGCAGAUCUCCUUAGAAGGGGAGCCACUCGCCACGAUGCUUCCAGUUUCCCCAUUCUUGAAACUCUUAUAAACCACAAAGCCAAUAUAAGAGCUCUGUUUCAAUCCAACGGCUGGAUUUUGUCACAAACCACCCCUAAGCCUAAAGAGGGAAGAGAAGUGGAGUGCUGCGUUUUGGAAGAUGGUUACUUGGAGUUUACAAGAUGAAGAUGGAACCCGUGACGAGGAAGACGAGGAGAAGUGUUACUUGGAAUAUCCUAAGUCCUAACGUUGAGGAUGUAGACAAUGUGUGAUCUUAGCGAUGAAAAUUAGUGUAGCUUUAAAAUAUGCUACUACGGUCCUUGAGCUCCCUAACAAGUACUAGCAAACAAUGUGUAUUUUGAAAAAAUAAAAUAAUUUUGUAAUGCAAGUAGUUUGAAACUUUGAGUAUUUAUUCAAACAACGGAUAUAUACAAAGUUGAUAACUUGAUAUGGAUCUCCAAAUAAGUUGGUGCUACGCUAUCAUAAUAUCUGUCUUUUUAAGCUUCUUCAUCUUCUUCUCUUUCUCUUUCCGUUGUUCCACGCUCUCUGUUUCAUGUUUAGCUCUCUGUUUCAUGUUUAGGGCUUUUUUAUAUUCUCUAUAUUUCACCUUAAUUAUACUUUUUGAAUUUUCCUUCCAUUUUGGGAGGUGUCUCUAACUUGAGUUAAUCGUCAAAAGCUAGGAUCAAUUUUGUUGUCUUACUUCCGAUAAAUUUUAUUCUUUAAUUUGCACAAAUCUUAAACAACACCAACAUCCCGUAAAUCAUACCAAAGUGGUGAUACUGACAAAGCUAAGAAGAUUAGGGAAGUCGCCAUCUUCACCAUCUCCUUCGUCGUUUGCGAUUCCCCUUCCGGCAAUCAACUAUUAUGGUCAAUCUUUAAGGCUCUACGCACGUUUUGCGCCUACCAAACGCUUAGUUUCUCCUCUAACGCCUUCAGAGCUCUCAUAUAUAUAGAAUCCCUCGAGGUAAAAGCUCCAUCUUGUCUCAAACUUUUCUUUCUCAGUUUUUCAAUCGCUUUACUUUCUCACAUCUGUCACAAAAAUGACUUAUCCAGCUGCUCCAGCCGCUUCAGCCGUCGUUCCCUACUCCACCUUCAACUCCCUCCGGCGUUAGUGUUGGUCGGCUCAUCCGAUUCUAGGAUUUCAGGAACAUUAACAAGAAUGGAGAGUUUAUGGGCAUCACCAUUCUCCUCCUUGAUGAACUGGUGAUGAUUGUUUCUAAUUUAUUUUUUAUCACUUUAACUCUUCUUUGCUUAUUCUUUGUUCAUAUAUGAAACAUGUCUUCAUCUUUUUGUUUUGGUUUUGUCUAUAAGUUUUUUUAUGAACAACUAAUGAUUUUUCUCUGUUUUUCUUACAGGAUUUUGUGAUCUACGGUUUCAUCUCUGCAAUCUCCAAACAAAACAGGAAAACUGAAUGAAUUAUGUUUUUAGCAACCGAAUCUAAAAGAAAUAAAAGACAUCUUACUUAACAAAUUAAAACCUUUUCUUUUGCAGAUUCCGACGACGACGACGAAGCACCCGAGGACUGACGACAAUGGAAUGAUGCGGACGAAGCCUAACUGAUGUAAGUAAACUCCUCUUCAAUAACACAUCACACUAUUAUCGCUCCCCAAUCUCACAAACUUAAGCUCUAAUCAUGCCAGGGAUCCCACAGGUCAUGCUGUCCCGACGACGGAGAAAAAAAAAGAAAGAUAACCUAACGUUUUUUUUAUUUUUAGUUUUUAAGUUCAAAUCAUGUUUUAGACAUAAAGCCCAACAUAAUUUGAGCCCAAACAUUUUAAACCCACAAUUACUUUUUCAUAAUAUAAAAACGUCAACUUUCGUUUAUGUUUUGUUAAACUAUUUUAAUCUUUAUGUUUUGUUAAACUAUUUCACACAAAGGCAGAUCUCCUUAGAAGGGGAGCCACUCGCCACGAUGCUUCCAGUUUCCCCAUUCUUGAAACUCUUAUAAACCACAAAGCCAAUAUAAGAGCUCUGUUUCAAUCCAACGGCUGGAUUUUGUCACAAACCACCCCUAAGCCUAAAGAGGGAAGAGAAGUGGAGUGCUGCGUUUUGGAAGAUGGUUACUUGGAGUUUACAAGAUGAAGAUGGAACCCGUGACGAGGAAGACGAGGAGAAGUGUUACUUGGAAUAUCCUAAGUCCUAACGUUGAGGAUGUAGACAAUGUGUGAUCUUAGCGAUAAAAAUUAGUGUAGCUUUAAAAUAUGCUACUACGGUCCUUGAGCUCCCUAACAAGUACUAGCAAACAAUGUGUAUUUUGAAAAAAUAAAAUAAUUUUGUAAUGCAAGUAGUUUGAAACUUUGAGUAUUUAUUCAAACAACGGAUAUAUACAAAGUUGAUAACUUGAUAUGGAUCUCCAAAUAAGUUGGUGCUACGCUAUCAUAAUAUCUGUCUUUUUAAGCUUCUUCAUCUUCUUCUCUUUCUCUUUCCGUUGUUCCACGCUCUCUGUUUCAUGUUUAGCUCUCUGUUUCAUGUUUAGGGCUUUUUUAUAUUCUCUAUAUUUCACCUUAAUUAUACUUUUUGAAUUUUCCUUCCAUUUUGGGAGGUGUCUCUAACUUGAGUUAAUCGUCAAAAGCUAGGAUCAAUUUUGUUGUCUUACUUCCGAUAAAUUUUAUUCUUUAAUUUGCACAAAUCUUAAACAACACCAACAUCCCGUAAAUCAUACCCUCCCCCCCCCCCCCCACCAAUAUCCAAAGUAACCAGCUCCGCGCUUGCGCGGGGUCUCAGCACCUAGUUUAUAUAAUAAGAUAGUUAAAAAUGCUCUUAGCAACACAUAAUUUUUAUAUAACUUGGUAUUCUUAUACCAUAUGGAUACAGAGUUAGAAUCAAACCAUGAUAUCCUUUUAACCUUUUUAGAUCGUCAAUGGCACAUGAGCGAGACCACUGUUCUAUUUCUUCACAAAACUGAUGCACAUUUGCCAAAAAAAAAAUAUUUCUUGCAUACAUAUAUAUAAAUACAUAUUUCUUUUAUAACAUCACGAUUUCGUCUUUUAGUUACCAGUACAACAAGUUUGUAGUUAUCUAUAGUAAUAAUAACUGCACUAUUAUGUAGUUUGAUAAAAGUGUAUUAAAGUAAUGUAGUAGUGACUACAUAUAUUUCUUCCCUUUUAUGACAACAAUUUUGGUUUGGAGAUAGUUCGAUCAGAGUAGAGCCAAAAUGUAUUCAGCUCAAUUAAGCUAGAAAUACUCUCCCCCGUUUCAAAAUGUUAUAUAUUUUAGACUUUUCACACAUGUUAAUAAAACACUUUAAUUUUCAUAAUUUUUGUGAUUAUUUUUCCCAUAAUUUUAAGUUUUUUGAAGUUUGCAAUUAGAUAAUAAAACAUGAAUUGAAAAUCCAAAAAUUAGAUCAUUUUGAAACAAAUUUUUUUUCUAUAAUAUGGAAUUUUAUGAAACAGAACGAGUAUUUUGUUUCCAUUUCGUUACCAAAAAUUAAGCACAUGCCAUUAAUUAAUGCUUACAACAGAAUUACUAAACCGUGUUGUUUUCAGUGAGAUCGUAUCAUUUUACCUUGCUUUUUUCGAUACACAUAUAAGCCCGAUAUAGAUAACAACACCGAUUGAAGCUUUUAUUAAUCAAAUUCGAACGAAAAGUUUUACAAACGAAGGUAAGGAAGAACAAUGAAGUAAAAGGGCAACGAACAUGGCGAUUACACACACAAACCCAUUAUUGCAUGAGAACGUUACACUCGUCAUUUUAUUCAAUCGAAGGAAGUUACAAAUACAAAAGAAAUCACCAGUUAAAAAGCAAAAGACGACAGGCAACAAGUUCAACCUUUAUUUUUUCGGUAUGUCUUCAGAUAUCUCAUACGUAUUCAACUUACGGGCAUUGGAAACUUGGUGGAGCAAAUCUGCUACAAGCAUUUAAAAGUACACUGAUAUCGAUGGGAAGGUGAACGUUGAUGCCAAGAACGUUAACGUCGAGCGCGGUACAGAGACAGACUGCAGCCUCAAGGUCAGCCAAGCCUGCAAUGAGCGAGCAGCACGGCGGUACUGGUGGCGGUGGGUUUCCUAAUGUUAAGUCAAUUGCAUUGAGCACAUUAGUGCAAGCACCGAUCUGAAGGGCAUUUCUAGGACAAGUGCCUUGAGCAGUAGUGUAAGUGAAGAAGAGGAGGUUAAAGAAAAGGAAGAGUGCAAGAGAGGUUCUUGGAGCCAUUUGUUUGUGUACCAGAAAAACUCUGAAACAAAAUCUCAGGAAGUAGUAGUGUGUUUAUAUUCUUUGAGAAGGGUGGAGAUAAAUUAUGGGGGUUAUAGUGGAUAUUUAUAGAAUUUUCUGUGGGAGAGUCAUAAAUUGGUUUCUACAAGAGAUUAGUUGACUUUUUUUUUUCAUAUUUAUGAGUCGACUAUAAUAAGUAGACGCAAUAGUUAUUGUCUAAUUAGUUGGCAAAUCAUAAAAAGGAAUAUUGUACAAAUUAUAGAGUAGAGUAAACUACUAUUAUAAGUUUGUUAGCCACUCUACCCUGUCUCCACGUUUAAACAAAACAUAUAAUCAAGAAUAUUAUUUACGAUUUAUAACUUUUGACUGUUUUAUAAUUUGAAGUUUAGAAAUAAAUAGUACAAUCUUAAUUUACAAAAUCUACAAAUGUUUAUGUGGAAGCCGCAGGUUCAAAGAUGAUACAGACUAAUAUCAAUAGCAGUGGGAGCCGUGACAAAAUGAAAAGAUAUAAUCGUUUUGUUUGUUGUUUAACGUUCAAACAUAUUUUUGAUGACAUACGUAAUUUCACAUGAGUUCAUUAUAUAUGAUUUUAUUGCAGUGUAUCAAAAGAUACACAAGAUCGACCAUAUCUUGGUUUAAAAUAUCAUGACUAUUCAAGAAAAAUGAAGAAACUGACCACAUAUAUACUAUAUUUGAAACUGGCUAUAUUACUCAAUACCACAGUUUACAUAUUUACGUUCCAUAGAAUUUAAGAAAGCUAAGUUAAUUCUAUUUAUUUAUAUCUAUGCAUUUUAAAUUUUUGUUCUCAUAAAAUUCUAAUAUAUACUAAAUCGUUACGAACAUAUUUCCUACUCUCCUCAAUUAUUUUCAUAUAAUAUUUAGGGUUUUAUUUCUGAUAUUGUAGCUUCUGCAGAUUAAUCAAUAUAAAAACUAUAUGAAAAGUAGAACCAUCUGUCUUGGUAUUGUAUGUUGCAAAUUUUAUUCGAAAAGAAUCUACUUAUUAUGAGUGUAAGUGUAAUUCAGAUGUAAUCCAUGUUAUGGGAGAAUCAAUAUUAUGAAGAGGGAGCUGCACCUGGAGUUAUGGGAGAGGAAUCAAUGUUAUGAACAGAGCUGCACAUGGAGUUAUUGUUCAUGAAUUUUUCUUUGGCUCAAACAUCAAUGUAUAUUCACUAAAUCAUGGUAUGCUAUCAUAUACUUUACAAGAGGUUUCGACCACCAUCACACAAAUAGGAUCAAAAUAGUAAUAUUUAGAAGAAUUCAAGGGCUUCCUACGAUACCUAAUUGCCCUGAAGUGUGCACUUAACAAAAGACAUAAACGAGAACCAAUUCAUUCAGCCAAAAUCGUAAGUAAUAAAAUGUCUCAUGCACCUCACAGUUACAAAGACAAAAUCUAUCGAUGGACUAGACCUAAUUAAGACUAUAAUUUUCUACAUAGUUGAUUGUAGCCAACAAUAUUAGAGUGAUAUUCAUGUAUUGAAAACUUGACACCAAAGGUGUGUUCCUAGAUUAGAUCUAAUAUAACCGCUUAUUAAAAUCUCGAACCCAUUGCCAACAAGACGGGACCAAUGAGUCUGAAAUGAAACGAAAGUUAGGCCUUGAAAAUAGGUACAUACUGGUCCAAAAGUAAUUUCAAGAGAUUCGAAGCUCGUACCACCGUUCAGAACAGAAGACCCAAUUACAUUAUAGGAUGCAGAACGAACCACUUUUCACCAGACGUCAUACCUCUCUUCCGGAAGCUCCCACCGCCAAAGACGAAGGUAAAUAUAUGGUGGAGGAAGCAUGUUACCGGUUCAGGCACCGUUGACGUGAAUGACGUGCCAGAUCUCUGAAAACCAAAAACCAAAUCUGACGGGUCACUUCAGCCCUAAAAGCCAGCCCUUCCGCAUCCAUCACACUGAAUCUUGUUGCUGCGCCAUAAAAUGCAUGUUGCUGUCACCAUCGACCUCACACAAUUCUUCAUAUAAGAUCUCGACAAGCAUAAAAAACUUGCUUAUGGACUAGGGUUAAGCAGAUGGAUAGAAAGAAAAAUGAGAGAAAAUUAUGGUUGGAGGAGGAAACCUCCGGCACCAACCAGAGCCAGAACGGAGCUAACUUUUUACUUUGCUUUUUGUCUACACAGAGCGACAAAAAAAAGAGAAAUAUCGUUCAAAUACAGAAGAGAUAAUUCUGGCUGAUUAAAAAAUAUUCAAAAGAGAAAAAGAGAAAAUUAAAUUGAAAUAUUUUUGUUCAUGAAAUUUUUAUAAUGAUUGCCUUUACUUAUUUCAUUUAUCAAUAAAUAUGUAAUAACAUUAUAUUAAAUAUUUAUAAUGAUUUAUCAUAGACUAACACUUUAAAUUUAUGCGGCUUCAUUAUAUAAUUACAGGGAUAAAUAAUUUCGUUAAAAUUAUAUAUGUGCUACGUCGCACCCUCAACCUACUAUACCAAUAUCAAAUCUGUAAGAGUGAUUAGAAUGGAUAAAUUGUUCUUUAUUCCUUCAUGAUAGGUUGUUCACGACAUGAACAUAUAUUAUCUUUCAACGAAUUCUAUUUCAUUGGCAGACUAGUAUCAUUAUUUAGUCUAAGCAUAAUCUCACAUGAAGAAACAUUCAUGGCUUCAUUUUUCAUUUGUUAUAUAUAUCCAUGCCAUAUGGACGGACUUAUCAUACAAUAUCCGUAUGUUGUCAAUAAUAUAUAUUAUUAAGUUUCAACGAGAGCAAUAAUACAUCGACAGUUCCAAAACAAACCAUGCCUUUUCAUGAAUAGACUUCCUGUAUUAGUAUUCCGAGAACCCGAUCGAACGAGUGUCCUUGAAACCCAUAAGGCGACAAUGGGCCCACCAAGUUCCAUGCCCAAUGCCGAGCGCAAGAGACGGUCCAUGGCGAGCUCAAGAGACGGUCCAUCAGGGCCGGCUCACUUUGAUAAUGGGCCCUGAGCCGAAAUAUAUAUCUUGGGAGGAUUUAUGUAUAGUAUUAAAUUUUAUGGUUUUUUUACAAGUUUUCAAAAUUUUAAGGCCCUAACUAGUAAAAGAAAUUUGUUAAAAGUAGAGUGGACCCUGUGCAAAUGCACUGUUGGCACUCCCUCUAAACCGGCAAUGGGUCCAUGCCGAGCUGAUACUUUGAAACUACAAUAUAAAAGAGGUCGAAGCAUUUAAUACUAUCAUAUAGACACGUUUCCAUUAUGUUCCACUCUUAAGACCUUUAAAAGAGAGAUCAAAGACUAGAGAAGAGGACACGGACACGGAUCCGGCUUAGAAACCUCAGUGAAAUGCCAGUCAAACCCGUAGAAACCUGAUAUUAUGAUACUUGAAACCCAUAUAUUCGCUUUAUCUGGUUUUUAAUCUUCAACAAGAACUAGUCCAAACCAUAGCUCAUCUCAAAUCACAAACCUUGAUAGCCAUGGAACCCCAAAACUAAAGAAUAGAUCAAAUUCUUUGCCAUAAAAAUAAGUGAUGAGAUCAUCGGUUACAUCGCACACUCCAUUCGCGCCCUAGCUAUAUUUCUAAACAAAUAUUCAAGUAUCAUCUUAUAAUCAAUAAUUAUAAUUUAUAUAAUAAGAUAGUUAAAAAUGCUCUUAGUGACACAUAAUUUUUAACUUGGUAUUCUUAUACCACAUGGAUAUAGAGUUAGAAUCAAACCAUGAUAUCCUUUUAACCUUUUUAGAUCGUCAACGGUACUGGAGCGAGACCAUUGUUCUAUUUCUUCACAAAACUGAUGCACAUUUGCCAAAAAAAAAAUUCUUGCAUACAUAUAUAUAAAUACAUAUUUCUUCUAUAACAUCACGAUUUCGUCCUUUAGUACCAGUACAACAAGUUUGUAGUUAUCUAGAAAAUAGUAAUAUUAACUGUACUAUUAUGUAGUUUGAUAAAAGUGUAUUAAAGUAAUGUAAUAGCGACUACAAUAUGACGGCUAGGGCUUUGGGGGGUGAUUUUAGGGUUUUGGGUGAGGAAGUGCAGGAUGAGAAUAUGGAGGAGAUCGGGGAGCAUGGGAGACCGCCCGGAGAUCUACCGGAUGCUCCAGGCUCUUGGGUGAAGAAGGUAUUAGGGUGCAAUGAAGGAGGGAUGCCUGUACCGGAGGAAAUUGUGGACGAGACUUUUGUGGAAGCAAAUCUGAAACUAGAGUUCCCUAAUGGUGAGGAUGGAGAACCGGUGAUAACGAUUGGACAGGAGGUUUUGAGUGCUAUGAAUGGUUUAUGGAAGAGAUGUAUGAUUGUUAAGGUCUUGGGGAGGAGUAUCCCAUUAUUGAGCUUAACGAGAAGGUUGAAGGAGCUAUGGAAACCUGCGGGAUCAAUGUUUGUGAUGGAUCUCCCGAAGAAUUUUUUCAUGGUUCGUUUUGGAGUAGAGGAGGAGUAUAUGAAUGCGCUAUCAGGUGGCCCAUGGAGGGCUUUUGGGAGUUACCUUAUGGUGCAAGCAUGGACGCCCGAGUUUGAUCCGCUGAGGGACGAGAUAGUUACGACACCGGUUUGGGUUCGUUUAGCACAUAUCCCAGUUAAUUUUUAUCAUAAAACGAUACUGAUGGGGAUUGCCAAGGGGUUAGGAAAACCGAUCAAGGUUGACUGCACCACGUUAAAAGUCGAAAGAGCUAGAUUUGCGAGAAUUUGUGUGGAGGUUAACCUGAAUAAGCCAUUGAAAGGGACAGUGAUGAUUAAUGGUGAGAGGUACUGCGUAUCAUAUGAAGGAAUCUCGACGAUCUGCUCGUCAUGUGGUAUGUAUGGACAUCUAGCCCAUUCAUGCCCACGUAAGGUACUGGAGGAAACUCCUAUAAAUGCGGUUGUUCCAGUGGACAGGACACAAAAGAGUACGGAGGUUGCAGGUAUGGAUACAGAUUUUACCCUAGUGAGACAGGCGAGGAAAGGGCUAACUCAGAAUGGGCAGAGAGGAGUUACACUGCGGAGUAAUGAAAGUAGGGAGAUGGUAGGAAACAAGACGUUGAUCGGUAGUAAAAGUCGAGGGGUUCGUCAAGAGAAUAUGUCGGAGGACAUAAGGGUUUCAAAUAGGUUUGGAGGGUUGAAUGUGGAGGAGGAUAUGGAGGAACAAGUGGAGGAGAGUGGGAAUAGAGAAGAGAAUAAAGAAAAUGAGAAUACUACUAAUAUAGUUUCUGAAGGAGCGAGCAAAGAGGCUGGGAAGGAAUUCUCGUUUGGAAAGAAUGGGAACAGAGGGAACCGACAGCCUGCUCGAUUGGGUCCAAAAGAUAAGAAGAUUAGCAACAUGAGAGGCCUGAAUCCUCAUAAGACCAAACUGAGAAAUAUUGGGCCUAUGCGGGGUUUGGUGUUUGGCCCAAUAAGUGGGGAGAGUGGCUUGUCGGCGAGAGGGAAGAGACUACGAGUAGAGAAGGAAAAUGUCGGCCGACCAGGUGGUGUUUUCGCAGGAGAUGGGGAGCUAGACAGAAAUGAGAAGAAUGCUGGGCAUGUGUACGAUAAAAACAACACUCAGGUGCAAUUUUCAGAGAUGGAGAAUCUGAAAUUGAAUGAGGCAGAAGCUAGUGCGAGCCAAGGACGAGAAGUCCUGGAGAGUGUGGAGGCAUAACAUUUUGCCCCGGUGAUUCUAUCUAUUGAUUAUAAAGAUCUGAUGAAGUGCAUUCUGUGGAAUUGCCGGGGGGCAAAUAAACCCCAAUUUAGAAGAUCGAUUAGAUAUUUGGUGAAGAAGUUCAAGACAGAUAUACUUGCUGUUUUUGAAACUCAUGCUGGUGGAGAAGCGGCAGGCCGGAUUUGUCGUGGUCUAGGGUUUGAGAACUCGUUUCGGGUGGAUGCGUGUGGCCAGAGUGGAGGUUUAUGGCUGUUAUGGAGGGAGGAGAUAGGAGAGCUUGAGGUGGUCAAGUCGUCGGAUCAGUUUAUACAUGCUCGAAUAGGGAACGGAGCAGAGGUGAUUAAUCUGGUUGUUGUGUAUGCGGCCCCUUCACCAAGCCGUAGAAGUGGUUUAUGGGCUGCUUUAGAAGAAGUUUUGCGUAAUGCGGAGGGACCGGUGUUCGUUGGGGGAGACUUUAAUACAAUAGUGAGGAUAGAUGAAAGGAGUGGUGGGAAUGGGAGAUUGUCUGAGGAUUCUCUAAAGUUUGGUGAUUGGAUAAAUGAUAUGUCACUGAUUGAUAUGGGCUUUCAUGGCAACCAGUUCACAUGGAAAAGAGGGAAAACUGAAAGCACAUUUGUAGCGAAGAGGCUGGAUAGAAUACUAUGUUGUGCCCAGUCUAGACUCAGGUGGCAGGAGGCAAGUGUGAGGCAUUUACCUUUCUUAGCAUCAGACCACGCUCCUUUGUAUCUACAGCUCACACCGGAGGUUAAGAGUGAUGCACGUCGACGUCCAUUUCGUUUUGAGGCGGCAUGGCUACAACACAAUGAGUUUCAAGACUUGCUAACAGCUUCAUGGGAUCGUGAUAUUGAUACAAGAGAGGCUUUGCAGAGGUUGGAAGUGACACUCCGAAAGUGGAACAGAGAAGUUUUUGGAAAUAUCCAAAGAAGGAAAGAGGAUUUGUUGAGGCAGAUUACAGAGACACAAGAUAAAAUUGAGCAAGACCUCUCUGAUGAUAUCUUGGUAAAGGAGGGAGAGCUACUAAAAGAACUGGAGAUCGUCCUCGAGCAAGAAGAAGUGCUCUGGCUCCAAAAGUCGCGGGAGAAGUGGUGUGUGCAUGGAGAUAGAAAUACCAAGUUCUUUCAUAUGUCGACAAUUAUUAGGAGAAAGCGAAAUCGAGUGGAGAUGCUAAAGAAAGAUGAAAUUCAGUGGGUAUCAGAUGCAAAAGAACUUGAGAAGCUAGCAGUGGAUUAUUUCAGAAAACUAUAUUCUCUGGAAGACGUGGAUACAGACACACAAAUGCUAAUGGAGAGGAGAUUUGUGGGGCUUACAAGACAAGAGAGAAUGGAUCUUGACAAAACGUUUUCUCCGGAGGAAGUAGAGAAGGCGGUGAGAGCUAUGGGCAGCUUCAAGGCACCAGGUCCGGAUGGGUUUCAACCAGUUUUCUAUCAGAAGUGCUGGGAGACUGUUGGUGCAUCUGUGAUCAGGUUUGUCCUUCUUUUCUUUGAGACGGGGAAGUUGCCGGAGAAUACUAAUGAUGCACUCGUGGUGCUAAUUCCGAAAGUGACGAAACCUGAGUAUAUUACUCAGUUUCGACCUAUAAGUCUCUGCAAUGUGUUGUUUAAAACUAUCACGAAGGCCAUGGUAGGGAGACUGAAGAGUAUUAUGCCUAAACUGAUUGGUCCUGCUCAGUCUAGUUUCAUCCCGGGCAGAUUGAGUGCGGAUAACAUUGUUGUGGUUCAGGAAGCUGUUCAUUCGAUGAAAAAGAAGCAAGGCCGCAAGGGUUGGAUGCUGUUGAAACUGGAUUUGGAGAAAGCCUAUGAUAGGCUGCGUUGGGAUUUUCUAGAAGAUACACUAAGGGCUGCUGGUUUGUCUGAGAAUUGGGUCAAGAGGAUUAUGUAAUGUGUGUCUGGACCAUCAAUGUGUAUUUUGUGGAAUGGGGAAAAAUCUGAGCCGUUUAAGCCAUCAAGAGGACUGCGACAAGGUGAUCCACUGUCCCCGUACUUGUUUGUCUUAUGCAUGGAGAGAUUAUGUCAACUGAUUGAGAAAGCAGUGGAGGAUAAAAGAUGGAAACCGAUAAGAUUGUCGAGAGGUGGUCCACAGCUAUCUCACAUUUGCUUCGCAGAUGAUCUAAUCCUGUUUGCAGAGGCAUCGGUGACGCAGAUUCGAGUGAUCAGGAAAGUGUUGGAGAAGUUUUGUAAAGCCUCUGGUCAGAAAGUAAGCCUCCAGAAAUCAAAGAUUUUCUUUUCUAAUAAUGUCUCUAGAGGAAGAGAAGAGAGAAUAAGCAGAGAAAGUGGUAUUGCAUCAACAAAGGAGCUGGGAAAAUACUUGGGGAUGCCGAUACUACAGAAAAGAAUUAAUAAAGAUACUUUUGGAGAGGUACUGGAGAAAGUAGCUUCACGGCUAGCAGGAUGGAAGAAACAAACAUUAAGCCUCGCAGGAAGGGUAACAUUGACAAAGUCGGUCCUGUCAUCAAUCCCGGUGCAUACGAUGAGUACGAUUAGCAUGCCAGUGGGUAUACUGGAGAAGCUUGAUAGCCUAGCGAGGAGCUUUGUGUGGGGAAGUGGACAACACUUAGUCUCUUGGGAUAAAAUAUGCAAACCGAAGGCGUCUGGAGGUUUGGGGAUCAGGGUGUCGAGAGAUAUGAACAAAGCCUUGUUAGCUAAAGUGGGAUGGCGUCUGUUACACGAUACUGAGAGCUUAUGGGCCAAUGUUUUACGAAGUAAGUACGGGGUGGGGGACAUACAUGACACAGAUUGGAUGGUAGGGAGUAGCUCUAGCUCGUCAACAUGGAAAAGUGUGGUAAUGGGGAUAAGAGAAGUGGUUCUUGUGGGCCAUAGUUGGAUCACUGGUAAUGGGAGGAAUAUCAGGUUCUGGACGGAUAGUUGGAUAGCAGGCCAACCACUCAUGACUGAAGUGAUUGCAGGGCUUCCAGAAGGAUAUGAAGAUAUAACAGUUAGAGAUAUGUGGGGGGAAGGUGGAGGUUGGGAUUUUGAUAGAAUUACCCCGUUUGUAACAGCUGAGAGAAGACUAGAGCUUAUGGCAGUAGUAGUGGAUACUGUUACUGGAGCAAAGGAUCGUUUGGCAUGGGGGCAGACUCCAAAUGGGCAGUUUACGGUGAAGUCUGCAUACACCUUGCUUACAAGAGAUGAAAAUCCAAGACCGCAGAUGGGGAGUUUCUUUCGAUCUAUGUGGCGUGUUGUAGCACCUGAGAGAGUUCGAAUGUUCCUCUGGCUAGUGGAAAACCAAGCAAUCAUGACAAAUGCAGAGAGACAUCGAAGGCACCUGAGUGGGACUGACUUAUGCCAGGUUUGCAGAGGAGGAAUUGAGACUAUAAUACAUGUGUUACGUGAUUGUCCUGCGAUAAAAGGUAUAUGGGAGAGAUUUGUUCCGCGAAUGAAAAGGGAGGCUUUCUUCAGAAUGCCAUUACUGGAAUGGUUAUAUAAGAACCUAUGUGAUAACAAUGCAGGUGGUGGUGUUCCGUGGGCUACUAUAUUCGCUUUGACUCUAUGGUGGGGAUGGAAGUGGAGAUGUGGAAAUGUAUUUGGUGAUACCCGACUGUGGAGAGAUAGAGUCAAGUUCUUACGUGACUUGGCUAAGGGAGUUAUAAUAGCAAAUAGAACAGAGAAUGCUCACAUAAAGGAGAGACAUAUGGUUGAGAUAAUGGUGGGAUGGAAGCCACCUUGUGUGGGGUGGAUGAAACUGAACACGGACGGGGCAUCACAUGGGAACCCGGGGCCGGCGGCUGCAGGGGGAGCACUGCGAAACGGAGAAGGCGAGUGGUGUGGCGGUUUUGCGAUUAAUAUAGGUAGCUGUACGGCACCAUUAGCGGAGUUAUGGGGUGUGUACUAUGGUUUAGUGGUUGCUUGGGAGAAAGGGGUGAGAAGGCUGGAGGUAGAGGUCGACUCUAUGAUGGUGAUGGAGUUUCUUACGAUAGGGAUUGGGGACACUCAUCCGCUGUCUUUCCUGGUACGCUUGUGCCAUGGCUUCUUGACAAGGGACUGGCUAGUCCGAUUUGUUCAUGUAUAUAGGGAAGCAAACCGCUUAGCUGAUGGUUUGGCUAACCUUGCAUUUACUCUUCCGUUUGGUUUUCAUAGUUUUGUUGUGGCCCCGAUUGAGGUCGCUGUUUUAGUUCAUGAGGAUGUUGCUGGACCGUUGUGGCCACGACAAACUCGUCUUGUAAGCUGAAGUUUGGGUUUCUUUUUUAAAUAAAUUGGGAGUCACUCUCCCAUAUUCCUACCAAAAAAAAAAAUAGCGACUACAUAUAUUUCUUCCCUUUUAUGACAACAAUUUUGGUUUGGAGAUAGUUCGAUCAAAGUAGAGCCAAAAUGUAUUCAGCUCAAUUAAGCUCGAGAUACUCUCCUCCGUUUUAAAAUGUUACAUAUUUUAGAUUUUUUACACAUGUUAAUAAAACACAUUAAUUUUCAUAAUUUUUGUGAUUAUUUUUUCCCAUAAUUUUAAGUCAAUAAAACUCUAAUAAGUACAAUUAAUUUUUUUUAAGUUUGCAAUUAGAUAAUAAAACAUGCAUUGAAAAUCCAGAAAAUAGAUCAUUUUGAAACAAAUUUUUUUUCUAUAUAAUAUGUAACUUUAUGAAACAGAAGGAGUAUUUUGUUUCCAUUUUGUUACCAAAAAUUAAGCACAUGCCAUUAAUUAAUGCUUACAACGGAAUUACUAAACCGUGUUGUGUUCAGUGAGAUCGUAUAACUUUACCUUGCUUUUUUCGAUUCACAUAUAAGCCCGAUAUAGACAAUAACACCGAUUGAAGCUUUUAUUAAUCAAAUUCGAACGAAACGUUUUACAAACGAAGGUAAGGUAGAACAAUGAAGUAAAAGGGCAACGAACAUGGCGAUUACACACACAAACCCAUUAUUGCAUGAGAACGUUACACUCAUCAUUUUAUUCAAUCGAAGAAAGUUACAAAUACAAAAGAAAUCACCAGUUUAAAAGCAAAAGACUACAGGCAACAAGUUCAACCUUUAUUUUUUCGGUAUGUCUUCAGAUAUCUCAUACGUAUUCAACUUACGGGCAUUGGAAACUUGGUGGAGCAAAUCUGCUACAAGCAUUUAAAAGUACGCUGAUAUCGAUGGGAAGGUGAACGUUGAUGCCAAGAACGUUAACGUCGAGCGCGGUACAGAGACAGACUGCAGCCUCAAGGUCAGCCAAGCCUGCAAUGAGCGAGCAGCACGGCGGUACUGGUGGCGGUGGGUUUCCUAAUGUUAAGUCAAUUGCAUUGAGCACAUUAGUGCAAGCACCGAUCUGAAGGGCAUUUCUAGGACAAGUGCCUUGAGCAGUAGUGUAAGUGAAGAAGAGGAGGUUAAGGAAAAGGAAGAGUGCAAGAGAGGUUCUUGGAGCCAUUUGUUUGUGUACCAGAAAAACUCUGAAACAAAAUCUCAGGAAGUAGUAGUGUGUUUAUAUUCUU